GUACUCGCUUCGGCAGUACAUAUACUAAAAUUGGAACGAUACAGAGAAGAUUAGCAUGGCCCCUGCGCAAGGAUGACACGCGGGGUACAUGUCAGUCACUUCCUCGUG